rnacentral:rRNA from 1 species
GCAAACAGGAUUAGAUACCUUGGUAGUCCACGCCCUAAACGAUGUCAACUAGCUGUUGGGGCCUUCGGGCCUUGGUAGCGCAGCUAACGCGUGAAGUUGACCGCCUGGGGAGUACGGUCGCAAGAUUAAAACUCAAAGGAAUUGACGGGGACCCGCACAAGCGGUGGAUGAUGUGGAUUAAUUCGAUGCAACGCGAAAAACCUUACCUACCCUUGACAUGUCUGGAAUUCCGAAGAGAUUUUGAAGUGCUCGCAAGAGAACCGGAACACAGGUGCUGCAUGGCUGUGGUCAGCUCGUGUCGUGAGAUGUUGGGUUAAGUCCCGCAACGAGCCCAACCCUUGUCAUUAGUUGCUACGAAAGGGCACUCUAAUGAGACUGCCGGUGACAAACCGGAGGAAGGUGGGGAUGACGUCAAGUCCUCAUGGCCCUUAUGGGUAGGGCUUCACACGUCAUACAAUGGUCGGGACAGAGGGUCGCCAACCCGCGAGGGGGAGCCAAUCCCAGAAACCCGAUCGUAGUCCGGAUCGCAGUCUGCAACUCGACUGCGUGAAGUCGGAAUCGC